UAUUGCACAAUGGGCGCAAGCCUGAUGCAGCCAUGCCGCGUGUAUGAAGAAGGCCUUCGGGUUGUAAAGUACUUUCAGUUGUGAGGAAGGGUGUGUAGUUAAUAGCUGCACAUCUUGACGUUAGCAACAGAAGAAGCACCGGCUAACUCCGUGCCAGCAGCCGCGGUAAUACGGAGGGUGCGAGCGUUAAUCGGAAUUACUGGGCGUAAAGCGCAUGCAGGUGGUUCAUUAAGUCAGAUGUGAAAGCCCGGGGCUCAACCUCGGAACUGCAUUUGAAACUGGUGAACUAGAGUACUGUAGAGGGGGGUAGAAUUUCAGGUGUAGCGGUGAAAUGCGUAGAGAUUUGAAGGAAUACCAGUGGCGAAGGCGGCCCCCUGGACAGAUACUGACACUCAGAUCGGA
rnacentral:rRNA from 1 species